UGGGGAAUCUUAGACAAUGGGCGCAAGCCUGAUCUAUCCAUGCCGCGUGAGCGAUGAAGGCCUUAGGGUUGUAAAGCUCUUUCGUGGGGGAAGAUAAUGACUGUACCCCAAGAAGAAGCCCCGGCUAACUCCGUGCCAGCAGCCGCGGUAAUACGGAGGGGGCUAGCGUUGUUCGGAAUUACUGGGCGUAAAGCGCACGUAGGCGGAACAGAAAGUCAGAGGUGAAAUCCCAGGGCUCAACCUUGGAACUGCCUUUGAAACUCCUGUUCUUGAGGUCGAGAGAGGUGAGUGGAAUUCCGAGUGUAGAGGUGAAACUCGUAGAUAUUCGGAGGAACACCAGUGGCGAAGGCGGCUCACUGGCUCGAUACUGACGCUGAGGUGCGAAAGCGUGGGGAGCAAACA
rnacentral:rRNA from 1 species